CUGCCGCCUCAGAUUCUUCUCUGGAUAGUUCCCCACCACUCCCUCACAAUCUCCUCCGUUCCCCAUUCUCUCCACCAUAGCCAGCGCUCCCUGGUCAGGCCGCCCCCUCCCCUUCGUCACCAUCGCCGGCGCUCCCUGGUCAGGCUGCCCUCCCCUUCGUCACCAGCGCGGCCGCUCUCUCACACCCCGUAGGUCAAAGGUUGAAUUUUUAUCCGCCGCUGAUGGUGCUGCUGGGCGAGGAGGCGCUGGAUGCGCGUGCGCCGGCGCUGGAGGCGCUGGAUGCGCGUGCACCGGCGCUGGAUCUGCUCCGUCUGGCUCCGGCGACCUUACCCCGUGGCUCCGGGACAGGAAGGCUACCCCGACGACAUACAGCAACUGGACUCUAUGCACAGCGAGGAGGAUGAAGACACCCAGCCAUGGAUUUUUAGCAGCACUCACUCAAGGAAAAAGAGACCUCAACACGCCAAUGGAUGCAGCCAGCCUCCAACUCACCACGCACCUGCACCAACUUGAUGUAGGGAGAGGAGGAGUGAGGCUUCUCUCACGGGAUGACGCCCAGCCAUGGGGCAGCAACAAUCCAAGAUUGCUGUCAAAAUAAGCCUAAAUUCAGAGUCUUCGGAAGUCAAUUACUUUGAGCCUUUGAGUUAGGAGGUAUACCAGUCUCUUUGUAGUUUGCUCUUAAUAAACUCUUCCCUUGGCCAUGAUGAGAUGUUUAAGUCUUUCCACUUAUCAGUUUUUAGUUCCACUUGAAGCGAUGCAUAUUCGAAUACAUUUUCUAGUCCUUUGAGCUGUUGAAUGAAUAAAUGAAAAAGUAUUAGCAUCACAACCGAACAAUAACAGAAAUCGUGUUAUCAAAAGAUGGUGUAGUGGGACUAAUGACUAACCAUAGCGGUGAGGUCUUUGCGGCUCAUUCCUGGGCCUAGCGAGUCGAGCACCUGGAUGCA